UGGGGAAUAUUGGACAAUGGGGGAAACCCUGAUCCAGCAAUGCCGCGUGAGUGAUGAAGGCCUUAGGGUUGUAAAGCUCUUUCGCCUGCGACGAUGAUGACGGUAGCAGGAGAAGAAGCCCCGGCUAAUUCCGUGCCAGCAGCCGCGGUAAUACGGAAGGGGCUAGCGUUGUUCGGAAUUACUGGGCGUAAAGCGCGCGUAGGCGGCUCAUCAAGUUAGGUGUGAAAGCCCUGGGCUCAACCCGGGAACUGCACUUAAGACUGGUGAGCUAGGGUCCGGGAGAGGGUGGUGGAAUUCCCAGUGUAGAGGUGAAAUUCGUAGAUAUUGGGAGGAACACCGGUGGCGAAAGCGGCCACCUGGCCCGGUACCGACGCUCAAGUGCGAAAGCGUGGGGAGCAAACAGG
rnacentral:rRNA from 1 species